rnacentral:rRNA from 1 species
CUUGGUCAUUUAGAGGAAGUAAAUUUAUUGUCGUGCGCAAGCACUAAUGUACAACUUUCAACAACGGAUCUCUUGGCUCUCGCAUCGAUGAAGAACGCAGCGAAAUGCGAUAAGUAAUGUGAAUUGCAGAAUUCAGUGAAUCAUCGAAUCUUUGAACGCACCUUGCACCCUUUGGCAUUCCGAAGGGUAUGCUCGUUUGAGUGUCAUUGUACUCUCACACUCCCGAUUCUUGGAUCGGGAGCGGUGGACUUGGGUGUUGCUGCUUGACUGUGGCUCACCUCAAAUGUGUUAGUGCACCUCUUGGUUGGACAUAGUACGGCGUGAUAAGUGUCUUCGCCGGCACCUCACUUGAGGGUGGCCGAUCGGGAGCUCUGUGCUUCAAACCGUCUUCGGACAACAUCUGACAACUUGACCUCAAAUCGAGUAGGACCACCCGCUGAACUUAAGCAUAUCAAUAAGCGGAGGA